GUCUACGGCCAUGCUACCCUGAACAAGCCCGAUCCCGUCUGAUCUCGGAAGCUAAGCAGGGUCAGGCCUGAUCAGUACUUGGUUGGGAGACUAUCUAUGAGGACCAGGAGCUGUAGGCA
rnacentral:rRNA from 1 species